rnacentral:tRNA from 1 species
GGGGGCGUAGCUCAGUCUGGGAGAGCGCUUGAAUGGCAUUCAAGAGGUCGAGGGUUCGAUCCCCUUCGUCUCCACCA